rfam:TPA: Bos taurus chromosome X, whole genome shotgun sequence.
UCCCUGGUAACUCAAAUGGUAAAGAAUCUGCCUGCAAUGCAGGAGACCCAGAUUCGAUCUCUGGGUCAGGAAG